AGGGGCGGCGUGCCUAUACAUGCAAGUCGUACGCUUCUUUUUCCACCGGAGCUUGCUCCACCGGAAAAAGAAGAGUGGCGAACGGGUGAGUAACACGUGGGUAACCUGCCCAUCAGAAGGGGAUAACACUUGGAAACAGGUGCUAAUACCGUAUAACAAUCGAAACCGCAUGGUUUUGAUUUGAAAGGCGCUUUCGGGUGUCGCUGAUGGAUGGACCCGCGGUGCAUUAGCUAGUUGGUGAGGUAACGGCUCACCAAGGCCACGAUGCAUAGCCGACCUGAGAGGGUGAUCGGCCACAUUGGGACUGAGACACGGCCCAAACUCCUACGGGAGGCAGCAGUAGGGAAUCUUCGGCAAUGGACGAAAGUCUGACCGAGCAACGCCGCGUGAGUGAAGAAGGUUUUCGGAUCGUAAAACUCUGUUGUUAGAGAAGAACAAGGAUGAGAGUAACUGUUCAUCCCUUGACGGUAUCUAACCAGAAAGCCACGGCUAACUACGUGCCAGCAGCCGCGGUAAUACGUAGGUGGCAAGCGUUGUCCGGAUUUAUUGGGCGUAAAGCGAGCGCAGGCGGUUUCUUAAGUCUGAUGUGAAAGCCCCCGGCUCAACCGGGGAGGGUCAUUGGAAACUGGGAGACUUGAGUGCAGAAGAGGAGAGUGGAAUUCCAUGUGUAGCGGUGAAAUGCGUAGAUAUAUGGAGGAACACCAGUGGCGAAGGCGGCUCUCUGGUCUGUAACUGACGCUGAGGCUCGAAAGCGUGGGGAGCAAACAGGAUUAGAUACCCUGGUAGUCCACGCCGUAAACGAUGAGUGCUAAGUGUUGGAGGGUUUCCGCCCUUCAGUGCUGCAGCUAACGCAUUAAGCACUCCGCCUGGGGAGUACGACCGCAAGGUUGAAACUCAAAGGAAUUGACGGGGGCCCGCACAAGCGGUGGAGCAUGUGGUUUAAUUCGAAGCAACGCGAAGAACCUUACCAGGUCUUGACAUCCUUUGACCACUCUAGAGAUAGAGCUUCCCCUUCGGGGGCAAAGUGACAGGUGGUGCAUGGUUGUCGUCAGCUCGUGUCGUGAGAUGUUGGGUUAAGUCCCGCAACGAGCGCAACCCUUAUUGUUAGUUGCCAUCAUUCAGUUGGGCACUCUAGCAAGACUGCCGGUGACAAACCGGAGGAAGGUGGGGAUGACGUCAAAUCAUCAUGCCCCUUAUGACCUGGGCUACACACGUGCUACAAUGGGAAGUACAACGAGUCGCGAAGUCGCGAGGCUAAGCUAAUCUCUUAAAGCUUCUCUCAGUUCGGAUUGUAGGCUGCAACUCGCCUACAUGAAGCCGGAAUCGCUAGUAAUCGCGGAUCAGCACGCCGCGGUGAAUACGUUCCCGGGCCUUGUACACACCGCCCGUCACACCACGAGAGUUUGUAACACCCGAAGUCGGUGAGGUAACCUUUUGGAGCCAGCCGCCUAAGGUGGCAUAGAAGAAGG
rnacentral:rRNA from 1 species